GACGGAGGAUGCAAGUGUUAUCCGGAAUCACUGGGCGUAAAGCGUCUGUAGGUGGUCAAAUAAGUCAACUGUUAAAUCUUGAGGCUCAACCUCAAAACCGCAGUCGAAACUAUUAGACUAGAGUAUAGUAGGGGUAAAGGGAAUUUCCAGUGGAGCGGUGAAAUGCGUAGAGAUUGGAAAGAACACCGAAGGCGAAGGCACUUUACUGGGGUACGACUGACACUCAGAGACGAAAGCUAGGGUAGCGAAUGGG
rnacentral:rRNA from 1 species